rnacentral:rRNA from 1 species
AGAGUUUGAUCAUGGCUCAGAUUGAACGCUGGCGGCAGGCCUAACACAUGCAAGUCGAGCGGUAGAGAGAAGCUUGCUUCUCUUGAGAGCGGCGGACGGGUGAGUAAUGCCUAGGAAUCUGCCUGGUAGUGGGGGAUAACGUCCGGAAACGGACGCUAAUACCGCAUACGUCCUACGGGAGAAAGCAGGGGACCUUCGGGCCUUGCGCUAUCAGAUGAGCCUAGGUCGGAUUAGCUAGUUGGUGGGGUAAUGGCUCACCAAGGCGACGAUCCGUAACUGGUCUGAGAGGAUGAUCAGUCACACUGGAACUGAGACACGGUCCAGACUCCUACGGGAGGCAGCAGUGGGGAAUAUUGGACAAUGGCGAAAGCCUGAUCCAGCCAUGCCGCGUGUGUGAAGAAGGUCUUCGGAUUGUAAAGCACUUUAAGUUGGGAGGAAGGGCAGUAAAUUAAUACUUUGCUGUUUUGACGUUACCGACAGAAUAAGCACCGGCUAACUCUGUGCCAGCAGCCGCGGUAAUACAGAGGGUGCAAGCGUUAAUCGGAAUUACUGGGCGUAAAGCGCGCGUAGGUGGUUCGUUAAGUUGGAUGUGAAAUCCCCGGGCUCAACCUGGGAACUGCAUUCAAAACUGACGGGCUAGAGUAUGGUAGAGGGUGGUGGAAUUUCCUGUGUAGCGGUGAAAUGCGUAGAUAUAGGAAGGAACACCAGUGGCGAAGGCGACCACCUGGACUGAUACUGACACUGAGGUGCGAAAGCGUGGGGAGCAAACAGGAUUAGAUACCCUGGUAGUCCACGCCGUAAACGAUGUCAACUAGCCGUUGGGAGCCUUGAGCUCUUAGUGGCGCAGCUAACGCAUUAAGUUGACCGCCUGGGGAGUACGGCCGCAAGGUUAAAACUCAAAGGAAUUGACGG